rnacentral:ncRNA from 1 species
UAAAUCCACGGUGAUGGGGUUCACCGGAACCGCCUUGGAGAGGGUCUGAGGCUGAUAACUCCUACCUUGCC